AUUCUUCCCAAGCUCAGACAGCGCGCCAGGCUCAGGGUUGCGGAGCUCUCACUCUGUGCUGGCCUUGGAGUGCGGACUUGAAGGCGUCUGGUGGAGUCCUCACCAAAUCUCUUAGAGAGGGGAAGUCAUAGAUUUGAAGCCCUUGUAGGGAUUUGGCAUGCCACUGCUGGCUCGAAGAUGGAGGCAGUCACACGACAAGGAUUGUGGGCCUCCUUCAGGAACUGCGAGUAGCCCCACCUGACAGCCAGCAAGAAAACAGUGCCCUCACACCUACAGCUGCAAUCAGUCAGCAACCUGAAUGAGCGUGGAAGCAGAUCCUUCCCUGGAGCUUUCAGAUAAGAGCUGAGAUGGCCAACAUUUUGUCUUAGGCCUUGUGAGACCUUAUGCAGAGAACCCAGCUGAGACCACCUGGACUUCUGACCCACACAGCUGUGAAGUAAAUGAGGAUGUUGUCUUAAGCUGCUAAAUUGGUGGUAAUUUGUUAGAGCAACAACAGAAAACAGAUACAAUGACAUAGAAAGAGCUUUGUCUUACAUAAUAAACAUUAAUUUUAGCCAAGUUGCUGGACUUGAGAGAGUUCACAUGUAACAGUUGCUGACUGAAGCCCAUGGCAGCCUGAAUGCUUUGGUUGCCAGGGACUCGUACUCCUGUCCUCUCUGCUUUGGUGGGCUGAGUCGUAUGCUCCCAAACCUGCUGGUGCUAAUUCUAUUGCUUAUUAUAAUUUUCUCUUUAUAUGUAUUUUGGUACUAUAUCAACAGGGGACAUAAGACAGUGAACAUGAAGAUAGCUGAUCUUUCUACCAAAAGCUGAACGCUUUGGAAACACUGGAUGAACAGUAAUCAUGAAAAUGCCAUGGAAUUAGGUGGGUGAGGCAAUUAAAGAGCAGAAAAGAACUGUAAAGGUUUAGAAGGUUUUUGGAGUCACAUUACUCUGCUAGCCUCUCAAUUCUUCCUUUAUGUUAAAGACUUCAAAACUAAACUUUACACAGUGCAUGUGGAAGAUGGCUUACUCAAGACUGCUGCCAGGACAGCCCCCAAGCAGUGCUGUGCCCGGAGAAAAGGUGCUGGCCCGAAAGCAGAAGAGUGGUAAAUGAAGGCACAGGACUUUGCUUUAAAUUAAAAUAAGAUAUUUCAGGUGUUGGUUUUUAUCCUAUCUGAUGAUUCCUUGCAUUGACUGAAUUUUUUUUUACUGACCUAGUGCAUCCAGUUCUAUCAGAUAAGAGAGCUUCUGUUAUAAUAUUAGAUAUGCACAUGCACACUCAUACAUGCAUGCUGGGUGAAGUCUAAUCAUGAAAUAUGAACGAAUUUUUGUAAAAAGUGCAUAUUGCUAGAAAAAAUUGGGAAUAUCAAUAGUAGUUAUAUUUGAGUAGGGAUCUUAUGUAUAUUUUCUAUAAUACAAAUAUAUCGCUUUUUAAAUAAGGCAACAAAAGAAAGUAAUCAUCAUCAUCAUCAUAAAAGAAUAAUUGCUAGCUAUCCUUCAAGGUCAGCGUCCAAAAAUUUCCUCCCUGAAGUUUUUCUCAAUUCACAUGAAGUUUCAUAAAUCACUUAUUUCUUUAUGCUCCCAUAGGUUCUUAUUUGUGCUUAAUUAGUUCUGAUAUUUAGCAUGGCCAAUUGUGUCUUUCCUUUUCAUUUGAGAGCAGGGACCAUGACUUAUAAAUAUUCAUAUUUCAUAACACCAAGCACAGUUCCCACCAUUUAGGAGGUAAUUGUCAAAAGAAUGAAUAAAUUGUGUUCUGGUGUAGUCACAAA
rnacentral:lncRNA from 1 species